GGUCCCGUGGCCUAGUGGAUACGGCGUCUGACUUCUAAUCAGAAGAUCGUGGGUUCGACCCCCACCGGGAUCG
rfam:Batrachochytrium dendrobatidis JEL423 supercont1.3 genomic scaffold, whole genome shotgun sequence.